GCCAAGGUUGAGAACCAUUGCUCUAGGCGCAUCCUAAAUCCAGAAUGAUUUCAUCUCGAGAUACUUGAAUAACUACACCUGCAAAAUUCCUUUUUUUCAAAAAGGUUACAUUCUGAGGUUCUAGGUAAAUGUGAAUUUUGGGAGGACGCUGUUUAACCCACUGCAGAAGCCAGCGCACUGUGCUGGGCCGCAAAGCUGGGCAUGGCCCAUGUACAUUCUUAGCUGUAACACCAGAAGAGCAUCCCUAACGGAUGGUCCCAAAAUAGGCCUCGAAUGGCUCCUAACAGACACAGAUCGACUACUUGCUGAGGUAUGUGAGUGGGAGCUGAUGGCUUAACGGAAUCCUUGAUUUAUUUUUCUUAUUUCAAAAUUUAUUUUUCCCCAUAAAAAAUGGAAUUUGUCAUCCUGUAUGAGCUUUCCGUGUUGAUUGCUGGUUUUUUCUGGCCACAUUCUGCAUCUGUCAGGCAAGCUGCCCUAGGACUCUGUCCCUGGGUUUAUUCUAGUACAUUGAGUACAAAAGCUAGAGACGCAGACCACCUGUGCUCCUGGAGCUGGCCACCACCUCCAGUGAUGGGGCAUCCCCACUGCAGGGAGGGAUGGUGCACGGGAAGGAACCCGAGCCUUGGCUUCUGAUCCCAGUGCAAACACUGCAAGUUAGCUGAGACCUUGGAGAGAUUGUUUUCUCAUUGUUAACAUGAAACCCAUUGCUGCCAAGUCCCCAGAGCUUUCAGUGAGGUUCCCAAAUGACGAUGUACGAAUUCUUGGCUGUGUAUAAAAAUGUAUGCAAAUAUAAGGCGUUAUUAAAUCAGGGUAGGAAUGUAAUCUUAUUUAAGAAUAGCAUCUACAUGUCUCAUGUUCUUGCUCUUUCUGUGCAUAUUUCUCUCCCGCACAGAAUUGAAUUACCUACAGUUUUAUCAUUUCCUCCUCUGAAGGGCAAGAUGGAAGCAUAUUUUUUUUCCUCCAUUUUAUCAAGAACAACAAAUGGGUGAUUUCUUGCUAUUUUCUGAUGCACUGUGCUAGGCACUGGGGUGAGCAAAGAAUAAGACGUUAAAUCCUGGAGGUUGCUGCUGUGGGUGGGAGGUGCAGGUACAGUAGAACAGAGAAGGUGCUUCCUCUCCACCACCCAAGUAUGUGUGUGUGGGGGGAGGGAGGGACGGGCGGGGGAGUCCUUUGAAGAAUGAGUAAGAGUUAAGCCAAGUGAAAGGAGGGGAGAAGAACACCCUAGGCAGAGGGAACAAGUGUGUGUUUAAGGCCUAAAAGUGGGAGAGGACCAGGUAUAGUCAAGCAAUGAAAAUGAUCUAGACCUUGACGGAGAACCGGGUGAGAGCAGGGCUGGAAAGAAGCAAGCCAGGUCCUGUGGGGUUUUCGAGGCUGUGAUAUGUGGAGUUCAGGCACUAUCCAACAAGCAAAGAAAUCGCAGAAAGGUUUUAAGGGGAAGAGUGACAUUACUGAAUUGUGUAUUUUAAAAGCUGUCCUGGCUGCAGUGUAGUGGCCCAUGUAGUAUCAGGAGGCCUUUUCAGUAGUCCAGGGUGGGAGGAGAUCAGGUGGAUGAGGAGAUAGAUUAACUAGGACCUUGGUGAAGCAUUGAAUUUGAGGGAGAACCGGGUGGCCACCAGGUCUCUGGCGUAGGCAAUUGAGUGGCGUCUUUGGCUGAAACCUGGAACCGAGGAGGACAGGCCACUGGAGGGAGUGUGUUUAGUUUCAGACACGUUGACCAUGAGAUUGCUGUGCAAUAUUUCCACGUAGAAGUAUCCAACGAGCAGAGGAAAUACAGGAUUGAUUUGAAGUUCUUGGACCUUGUGUUCUCAACUACACUCAGAUGAAGUCCACUAAGAGAGGACUUUUCCCACUGUUUCUAAGAGUCCUUCAUCUUUAUCUGUUUCAGUGUGAUCUUCAACUGGUGCUUCACCUUUUGCACUUUUGUUUCCUCAUCUAAAGUAAAAGGCAGACUAGAUGACCUUCAUGAGCUCCUAGGUUUAAACUUUCCUCAAGACUGCACCUCUUUCUUUCAAAGGGAUUGGGGGUGGGGAAGUUUUAGCUCUUGUUUAUCCAAAUCCAGUGUGAGCUCUUUUGGUUGCAUAUGUUUAUGCUAAGAGAAAAGCCUAUUCGUUGUAUAUUGUAUAUUUGUUGUAUAUUGACCCCUCAGUAACAUUGUCCUCAGGUGCACAAGGAGAAAGAAUAUAGCUGGAUCUGGUGCAAGGGGAAAGCCCUGGCCUGCUGAUCUCUUUUGGCUCCCUGGGGCCUGGCUCUCCUUGUAGUAGGGUAGUCAACAUUCCUCUCAGGAGGAAUCUUAUCCCCUCCCUGAACCCCAUUUCAUCACAGUGGGGCCAGGGAAGCAAACCUUCCCUUCUUUUUUUAGCCUUCCCAUUCUUUUUUUUUUUUUUUUUUAAGAAGGAGGGAAGGGAGGGGAAGGACAGGACAUUGACGUGACAGAGAAUCAACGUUGCCUCUUGUAUGGGCCCUGACCCAGGACCUAACCCACAACCUGAAUAUGUGCCUGGAUCAGGAAUCGAACCUGCAAUAUUUUGGUGAAUGGGACAACACUUCAACCAAAUUGAGCCAGCGCAGCCUCCCCAUUAUAUUAAGUUUGAGCAGGAUGGGCAGUGAGUAAGGAAGGUAACCA